ACGGUACUCCCUCCGUCUGGAAAUACUUGUCGUAAAAACGAAUGUAUCUAGACGCAUUUUAGUUUUAGAUACAUCCAUUUUUACAUAUUUCUCCGAUGAGUAUUUUCGGACAAAGGGAGUACAAA
rfam:Triticum aestivum genome assembly, contig: Triticum_aestivum_CS42_TGACv1_scaffold_146183_2BS